CUGACCAGGACGCAUGGGUCGACGUUCGUGCAACGAGCCCCUUCCUCCUGCUGAUGCAGGUGGAUGCGACCAAAAGUCAG
ncrna:unclassified sequences L4-Archaeoglobi ribosomal protein leader